UCUGAAAUUCGACUUCAUGAAGCUGGAAUUGCUAGUAAUGGCAGGUCAGCAUACUGCCGUGAAUACGUUCCCGGGCCCUUGUACACACCGCCCGUCACACCAUGAGAGUUGGGAAUACCCGAAGCCUGUGAGCUAACUGUAAAGAGGCAGCAGUCGAAGGUAGAAUCAAUGAUUGGGGUGAAGUCGUAACAAGGUACC
rnacentral:rRNA from 1 species